GAUGCCCUAGGACAGAUUUGUACCCUGGACUGAAGUUCCCAGCUUGGACUGAAAUCUGAGGGAGACUUCCAGAUGUUCCUAUGAUGGCAUUGGAUGAAGGGAGAUGCAGCUCCUUCCCUGGCUGCACUGACAGCAUUGCUCAGAGCCAGGCACUGGGGACAGCAUCACCCUGAGCCAGCUGUGCCCCCUGCCAGAGCCCCCAGGGCUGGGCAGCUGCUCCCAGCCCUGUGCCCUGCAGAGGGAACUGGGCCCGGGGCUGCAGAGCUGCCCCAUGGCUCUGCUGCAGCUCUGCCUGCACAGGAGGGGCUGCACGCCUUGGAGCCCCGGCCCUGAGGGCAGAGGCUUGGCUGGGGGCACAGGAGGGAGGGGACUUUUUCAGAGGGAGGGGCUGCACUGGAGGGGAUCCUGUGGACAUCUCUGAUCUCUCCCUGCGACAGCAUUUCUGAGUUUGGUUUUCCCUCAUUGCCUGAUCUUCUGUCUUCCUGGAGAUUUUCCUCCUGCAGGUGUUUCCCUGUGCCUGAUCUCUUGUGCCAGCACUCACAGACCCCAAAUCUCUGGGCACUCUCCUUGGCUUGACAGAACCCUCCCUGUUUGCAGGGCACUGGCUGGGGCAGGUUCUGUUUGCAGCUUGGAAAAAGGACAGCUCAGACUGAGUCUGAUGGCUCCAGCAAAUGUGACUCUUGGGCUGUCCAUGGGUAGAGUGGCUGCUUUGGCGGGGCUUGACAGCUGGCCUGCAAGCAAAGCUGAGUUAAUAGAAGAAAUAACAAUUGAUGAUUUUCGGUGUAUCCAUAGCAAGGAAGAAGACAAGGCCGUCAGCAUGGAAACCGAUUAGAAAAGAUACAUGAGAAUUUUUGUAAGCUAGACUAUGUGCCUAAGUGGAUGUGUAUACGUGCCUUAUUACAAUUUCUGUUAAACUUUUGCCAAUUAUAUUGACGCUGAUUGCUUUGCACCAAUGAAUAUAAUAAGUUAUUGUAAUGUAGUUAAUGACUUAAGAUCACGCUUUGUUAAGGGUGGAUAAACGGGAGAAGACGCAGAGUAAAAACUUUUUUUCUUCCUGGACUUUGGUCACGUGUGUAUGUCACAUCCGGCCUAAAGGUGACAUUUGGUGCUACCCUGACCUGAUGGAACUGCCGGGCGAGGGGCAGUGAGCACAGAGCCCAGCGAAGCUGAGAGCAGCGGGGAGCAGCUGCCAGUCCGGACCUGAUUCUGACACCUGGAAAAAAGCCCUUCAAGGCCUGAGUGAAGACAACAGCCCGUCCUGCAUAAGCAUAUUUGUUCAGGUGAUGUUUGAGGGAAGAGCUGAACUACUUUCAUCUGCAGGCUCAGAAGAACCAGUGUCUCUUUAAGACCUCCAGAUCCCUUGGAAGGUGAGACCACCUGGAGACCAGAGGAGAUCAGCUGGAGCUCCAGGCACAGCUGAUGACUGGCACAGCUGAGCCUGUGGGAAGCUCCCAUAGCUCCUGCCUUCUCUCUUGCUGUUGACAGCCCUCAGAACCUGCCCAUCCCCUUUCUUCCCUCCCAGCUCAUCCCUUUGCUUUGCCUUCCAUUAAUAAACAGUUUGGCUUCUUUGCUUUACCUGCA